AAUCUUCCGCAAUGGAGGAAACCCUGACGGAGCAACCCCGCGUGAAUGAUGAAGGCCUUCGGGUCGUAAAGCACUGUUGGCAGGGAAGAAAAGGUACCGCAUACACUGACGUACCCUUGACGGUACCUGCAGAAAAAGCCCCGGCUAACUACGUGCCAGCAGCCGCGGUAAUACGUAGGGGGCAAGCGUUGAUUGGAAUUACUGGGCGUAAAGGGUGUGUAGGCGGUUCGUUAAGUAAGAGGUGAAAUCCCAGGGCUCAACCUUGGAACUGCAUUUGUUACUGGCGAGCUUGAGUAUGUGAGAGGUAGGUAGAAUUCCACGUGUAGCAGUGAAAUGCGUAGAUAUGUGGAGGAAUACCGGUGGCGAAGGCAACCUCCUGGGUUAUUACUGACGCUGAGACGCGAAAGCGUGGGGAGCAAACA
rnacentral:rRNA from 1 species